AACAUACUUAUAUUUUCACCUUUAAUGAAAGAAAAGUUACAAAAGCGAUAAAAGAUACAUUAUAAAUUAAAUUUGUCAAAUUCAUAAUAUGUUUUUAAAUAAAUACAGAAAUACUUCUUCUACUACAAAACCAGGUUGACAGUUUAAAAGUAAUAUGUAUAUAUAUGUAUGCGGGUAUCAUACAUUUGAAUUCAUAACGUUAUAAGACAGUUACCUAGCACUAACUACUAAAUACAAGUGUGCGAUUGGUUACUCGUAUAAAUGUUUCUUUCAUAAUGGAAAAAGGGCUACGAAACUGUCUUCCAAUCCAACCAUUAAGUAGUAAACCAUUGGAUUCAACCCUUCAUCAGUUGAACUAUCUACUUGGGCCGAAUCUAACUGGUUUCGUUGAGCUUCUGGUAUUACUACAAUUCCAUUGCUAUCUAAUUUUGCGAUAGAGGCACAGGACUAGGCGUUUUAGGUACUGACGAACUAACUGUAUGACCAACAGACACUGAACUUUGUGAUUGAGGUAUCAUUAGUAGGAACUGACAUGGAAGGUGUAUUUGAUUGAU